rnacentral:tRNA from 1 species
GUUUAUAUAAUUUAUAUUAGAAUAUUGUGUUGAAGUUACAAAAGAGAUAUUUUAUAAUCUAUGGACA